UACGGGGGGGCAAGCGUUGUUCGGAAUUACUGGGGCGUAAAGGGCUCGUAGGCGGCCAACUAAGUCAGACGUGAAAUCCCUCGGCUUAACCGGGGAACUGCGUCUGAUACUGGAUGGCUUGAGUUUGGGAGAGGGAUGCGGAAUUCCAGGUGUAGCGGUGAAAUGCGUAGAUAUCUGGAGGAACACCGGUGGCGAAGGCGGCGAUCCUGGACCAACACUGACGCUGAGGCGCGAAAGCCAGGGAGGCGAACGGG
rnacentral:rRNA from 1 species